UGCCAGCCGCCGCGAUAAUACAGAGGGCCCGAGCGUUAAUCGGAAUCACUGGGUUUAAAGGGUCCGCAGGCGGACGUAUAAGUCAGUGGUGAAAUCCUGCAGCUUAACUGCAGAACUGCCAUUGAUACUGUACGUCUUGAAUUCGGUCGAAGUGGGCGGAAUGUGUAGUGUAGCGGUGAAAUGCAUAGAUAUUACACAGAACACCGAUAGCGAAGGCAGCUCACUAGGCCUGGAUUGACGCUCAGGGACGAAAGCGUGGGGAUCAAACAGGAUUAGAUA
rnacentral:rRNA from 1 species